CCUACGGGAGGCAGCAGUGAGGAAUAUUGGUCAAUGGACGAGAGUCUGAACCAGCCAAGUAGCGUGAAGGAUGACUGCCCUAUGGGUUGUAAACUUCUUUUAUAUGGGAAUAAAAUGUUCCACGUGUGGGAUUUUGUAUGUACCAUAUGAAUAAGGAUCGGCUAACUCCGUGCCAGCAGCCGCGGUAAUACGGAGGAUCCGAGCGUUAUCCGGAUUUAUUGGGUUUAAAGGGAGCGUAGGUGGAUUGUUAAGUCAGUUGGGAAAGUUUGCGGCUCAACCGUAAAAUUGCAGUUGAAACUGGCAGUCUUGAGUACAGUAGAGGUGGGCGGAAUUCGUGGUGUAGCGGUGAAAUGCUUAGAUAUCACGAAGAACUCCGAUUGCGAAGGCAGCUCACUGGACUGAAACUGACACUGAGGCUCGAAAGUGUGGGUAUCAAACAGGAUUAGAUACCCGAGUAGUC
rnacentral:rRNA from 1 species